GUAGAAAUAACAUUAUUUAGGCCCAACACCAGACACAGUAAAUACAAUUGCUAGCUGUUAGCAAAGCAGUGGAGUGACAGGUCGUGCCACUAAAAGCUAGGAAUUAAAAUUGUACUGGGCAAGCCUGGUUGAGCCAGACCUGGGUUCAAAUACUAUUUGCAAAUCUUUCAAAUACUUCAAGCGUUUGCUUAAGCCUGCCUGGGGUGCCAGGUUUGUACUUUUGGGACUUUUCUAUUGAAACAGGCAAGCUCAAAUCAAGCACAGCUAAAGUACUGAAAAUUAUUUUAAAAUAGUAUUUGAACACAGGUUUGGGUCUGAACAUGUGAGCUCUUGAAGAUCCUCUUGAGAGAAGAGCAUAUUAGCACCCCCCCCCCCAAAAAAAACCUUACAGAUACUCAGGAAAAACAGACUUUACCACUCGCCAUCAAACCAACUCAGCCGUCCAACCAAAACCGCCAGUAAUACAGGUACCUUCCCCAGCCCUCAUUAACACUAAGGGGCCAGUCAGUAAUACAGGUACCUUCCCCAGCCCUCAUUAACACUAAGGGACCAGUCAGUAAUACAGGUACCUUCCCCAGCCCUCAUUAACACUAAGGGGCCAGUCAGUAAUACAGGUACCUUCCCCAGCCCUCAUUAACACUAAGGGGCCAGUCAGUAAUACAGGUACCUUCCCCAGCCCUCAUUAACACUAAGGGGCCAGUCAGUAAUACAGGUACCUUCCCCAGCCCUCAUUAACACUAAGGGGCCAGUCAGUAAUACAGGUACCUUCCCCAGCCCUCAUUAACACUAAGGGGCCAGUCAGUAAUACAGGUACCUUCCCCAGCCCUCAUUAACACUAAGGGGCCAGUCAGUAAUACAGGUACCUUCCCCAGCCCUCAUUAACACUAAGGGGCCAGUCAGUAAUACAGGUACCUUCCCCAGCCCUCAUUAACACUAAGGGGCCAGUCAGUAAUACAGGUACCUUCCCCAGCCCUCAUUAACACUAAGGGGCCAGUCAGUAAUACAGGUACCUUCCCCAGCCCUCAUUAACACUAAGGGGCCAGUCAGUAAUACAGGUACCUUCCCCAGCCCUCAUUAACACUAAGGGGCCAGUCAGUAAUACAGGUACCUUCCCCAGCCCUCAUUAACACUAAGGGGCCAGUCAG